rnacentral:rRNA from 1 species
UUGUUGUGCUAAGGUAGCAUAAUCAUUUGUCUUUUAAUUAAAGACUAGAAUAAAAGAUUAAACAUUUUAAUUAAUUUAUUUAAACUAAACAUUAAAUUUAUUCUAAAUGUAAAAAAACAUUUAUACAUUAGGAAGACGACAAGACCUUAUUAAACUUUACUUUAGUUUAACUGGGGCAGUUAAUUAAUAAUCAUUUUAAUUAUAUUAUUUAACAAAUAUGAUCCUAUAAAAUAGAUUACAUGAUCAAGUUACUAUAGGGAUAACAGUGUAAUAUUAAUUUAAAGACCUUAUUAAAAUAAAAGAUUACAACCUCGAUGUUGAAUUAAUAACCUAUAUUAAAAAUAAUAAAAG